UUGAACGCUGGCGGAAUGCUUUACACAUGCAAGUCGAGCGGCAGCGCGGGGGCAACCCUGGCGGCGAGCGGCGAACGGGUGAGUAAUGUAUCGGAACGUACCCUGUCGUGGGGGAUAACACAGCGAAAGCUGUGCUAAUACCGCAUACGACCUGAGGGUGAAAGCGGGGGAUCGCAAGACCUCGCGCGAUAGGAGCGGCCGAUAUCGGAUUAGCUAGUUGGUGGGGUAAAGGCCUACCAAGGCGACGAUCCGUAGCUGGUCUGAGAGGAUGAGCAGCCACACUGGGACUGAGACACGGCCCAGACUCCUACGGGAGGCAGCAGUGGGGAAUUUUGGACAAUGGGCGCAAGCCUGAUCCAGCCAUGCCGCGUGAGUGAAGAAGGCCUUCGGGUUGUAAAGCUCUUUCAGACGGAAAGAAAUCGGGCGCGUGAAUAGCGUGCCUGGAUGACGGUACUGUCAGAAGAAGCACCGGCUAACUACGU
rnacentral:rRNA from 1 species